UUUUGGCUCCUCCUGCUUGGGUUUCCCAGCCAUCAAUCCACCCAUCUGGCACAGGAUUGACUCCUGGUGGAACCCAACUCAGUGAUCUGUGCAGUGUGGUGUUUUCCAAACUGGCCAAGGUGUCUGCAGGGCCCUCAGAAUUUUCCAAGCAAGAAAAGAUUUGGCUACUUGGAGAAACUUCAUCCUUCUGGAGGCAUCACCUCCAGAAUCUACUUGAAGUGGAUGACACUGACUUCCAUGAACUGUUUUCCUUUUGCUGAGGGUGAUGGCUUCCAACUCCAUCCAUGUCCCUGCAGAGGAGAUGAUCUCAUUCCUUUUUAUGGCUGUAUAGUAUUCCAUGGUUUGUCUGUUCACUCUGAUGAUGGUUCCGUUUGCUGUGUGGAAGCUCUUAAGUUGGAUUAAAUUCCAGUCGUCAAUUUCU
rnacentral:lncRNA from 1 species